CGGAGGGUGCAAGCGUUAUCCGGAUUCACUGGGUUUAAAGGGUGCGUAGGUGGGUUGGUAAGUCAGUGGUGAAAUCCCCGAGCUUAACUUGGGAACUGCCAUUGAUACUAUCAAUCUUGAAUAUCGUGGAGGUUAGCGGAAUAUGUCAUGUAGCGGUGAAAUGCUUAGAUAUGACAUAGAACACCAAUUGCGAAGGCAGCUGGCUACACGAAUAUUGACACUGAGGCACGAAAGCGUGGGGAUCAAACAGGAUUAGAUAUCCUGGUAGUCCACGCCCUAAACUAUGGAUACUCGACAUCAGCGAUACACUGUUGGUGUCUGAGCGAAAGCAUUAAGUAUCCCACCUGGGAAGUACGAUCGCAAGAUUG
rnacentral:rRNA from 1 species